rnacentral:rRNA from 1 species
AGGACGAACGCUGGCGGCGUGCCUAAUACAUGCAAGUCGAACGGUCUUUCUAUGGAAGCUGCUUCACUGAGAAGAUAGUGGCGAACGGGUGAGUAACACGUGGGUAACCUGCCCAUAAGAGGGGGGAUAACAUCCGGAAACGGGUGCUAAUACCGCAUAGUUUUCUUGAUCGCAUGAUCGGGAAAGGAAAGACGGCCUUUGUGCUGUCGCUUAUGGAUGGACCCGCGGCGUAUUAGUUAGUUGGUGAGGUAACGGCUCACCAAGACGAUGAUACGUAGCCGACCUGAGAGGGUGAUCGGCCACAUUGGGACUGAGACACGGCCCAAACUCCUACGGGAGGCAGCAGUAGGGAAUCUUCCGCAAUGGACGAAAGUCUGACGGAGCAACGCCGCGUGAGUGAAGUAAAAGGGUUUUCGGAUCGUAAAACUCUGUUGUCAGAGAAGAACAAGUUGGAGAGUAACUGCUCCAGCCUUGACGGUAUCUGACCAGAAAGCCACGGCUAACUACGUGCCAGCAGCCGC